UACAGAGGUCUCAAGCGUUGUUCGGAUUCAUUGGGCGUAAAGGGUGCGUAGGCGGCGCGGUAAGUCGGGUGUGAAAUCUCGGAGCUUAACUCCGAAACUGCAUUCGAUACUGCCGUGCUUGAGGACUGGAAAGGAGACUGGAAUUUACGGUGUAGCGGUGAAAUGCGUAGAUAUCGUAAGGGAGACCAGUGGCGAAGGCGGGUCUCUGGGCCGUAACUGACGCUGAGGAGCGAAAGCGUGGGGAGCGAACAGG
rnacentral:rRNA from 1 species